rnacentral:rRNA from 1 species
UGCAAGUCGAACGAUGAACCGCUUUCGGGCGGGGAUUAGUGGCGAACGGGUGAGUAACACGUGGGCAAUCUGCCCUGCACUCUGGGACAAGCCCUGGAAACGGGGUCUAAUACCGGAUAUGACUGUCCAUCGCAUGGUGGAUGGUGUAAAGCUCCGGCGGUGCAGGAUGAGCCCGCGGCCUAUCAGCUUGUUGGUGAGGUAGUGGCUCACCAAGGCGACGACGGGUAGCCGGCCUGAGAGGGCGACCGGCCACACUGGGACUGAGACACGGCCCAGACUCCUACGGGAGGCAGCAGUGGGGAAUAUUGCACAAUGGGCGAAAGCCUGAUGCAGCGACGCCGCGUGAGGGAUGACGGCCUUCGGGUUGUAAACCUCUUUCAGCAGGGAAGAAGCGAAAGUGACGGUACCUGCAGAAGAAGCGCCGGCUAACUACGUGCCAGCAGCCGCGGUAAUACGUAGGGCGCAAGCGUUGUCCGGAAUUAUUGGGCGUAAAGAGCUCGUAGGCGGCUUGUCACGUCGGUUGUGAAAGCCCGGGGCUUAACCCCGGGUCUGCAGUCUAUACGGGCAGGCUAGAGUUCGGUAGGGGAGAUCGGAAUUCCUGGUGUAGCGGUGAAAUGCGCAGAUAUCAGGAGGAAC